rnacentral:rRNA from 1 species
UACGUAGGGUGCAAGCGUUUGUCCGGAAUUAUUGGGCGUAAAGAGCUCGUAGGCGGUUUGUCGCGUCUGCUGUGAAAACUCGGGGCUUAACUCCGGGCCUGCAGUGGGUACGGGCAGACUAGAGUGCGGUAGGGGAGACUGGAAUUCCUGGUGUAGCGGUGAAAUGCGCAGAUAUCAGGAGGAACACCGGUGGCGAAGGCGGGGUCUCUGGGCCGAUACUGACGCUGAGGAGCGAAAGCGUGGGGGAGCGAACAGG